rnacentral:rRNA from 1 species
AACGAACGCUGGCGGCGUGCCUAACACAUGCAAGUCGAGCGCGAAUGGAGCAAUCCUAGUAGAGCGGCGCACGGGUGCGUAACACGUGGGUAAUCUGCCUCAAAGCCCGGGAUAACCUGCCGAAAGGCAAGCUAAUACCGGAUAAGCCUACGGACUCUUCGGGGCCUGAAGGAAAAGGUGGCCUCUGUAUACAAGCUAUCACUUUGAGAUGAGCCCGCGGCCCAUCAGCUCGUUGGCGGGGUAACGGCCCACCAAGGCAACGACGGGUAGCUGGUCUGAGAGGACGAUCAGCCACACUGGAACUGAGACACGGUCCAGACUCCUACGGGAGGCAGCAGUGGGGAAUUUUGCGCAAUGGGCGAAAGCCUGACGCAGCAACGCCGCGUGUGUGAUGAAGGUCUUCGGAUUGUAAAGC